AUUGAACGCUGGCGGCAUGCUUUACACAUGCAAGUCGAACGGUAACAGGCCGCAAGGUGCUGACGAGUGGCGAACGGGUGAGUAAUGCAUCGGAACGUGCCCAGUCGUGGGGGAUAACGCAGCGAAAGCUGUGCUAAUACCGCAUACGAUCUAUGGAUGAAAGCGGGGGACCGUAAGGCCUCGCGCGAUUGGAGCGGCCGAUGUCAGAUUAGGUAGUUGGUGUGGUAAAGGCUCACCAAGCCAACGAUCUGUAGCUGGUCUGAGAGGACGACCAGCCACACUGGGACUGAGACACGGCCCAGACUCCUAUGGGAGGCAGCAGUGGGGAAUUUUGGACAAUGGGCGCAAGCCUGAUCCAGCAAUGCCGCGUGCAGGAAGAAGGCCUUCGGGUUGUAAACUGCUUUUGUACGGAACGAAACGGUCUGGGUUAAUACCUCGGGCUAAUGACGGUACCGUAAGAAUAAGCACCGGCUAACUACGUGCCAGCAGCCGCGGUAAGAC
rnacentral:rRNA from 1 species